AUUGAACGCUGGCGGCAGGCUUAACACAUGCAAGUCGAGCGGGGGAAGGUAGCUUGCUACCGGACCUAGCGGCGGACGGGUGAGUAAUGCUUAGGAAUCUGCCUAUUAGUGGGGGACAACAUCUCGAAAGGGAUGCUAAUACCGCAUACGUCCUACGGGAGAAAGCAGGGGAUCUUCGGACCUUGCGCUAAUAGAUGAGCCUAAGUCGGAUUAGCUAGUUGGUGGGGUAAAGGCCUACCAAGGCGACGAUCUGUAGCGGGGCUGAGAGGAUGAUCCGCCACACUGGGACUGCGACACGGCCCAGACUCCUACGGGAGGCAGCAGUGGUGAAUAUUGGACGAUGGGGGGAACCCUGAUCCAGCCAUGCCGCGUGUGUGAAGAAGGCCUUAUGGUUGUAAAGCACUUUAAGCGAGGAGGAGGCUACUUUAGUUAAUACCUAGAGAUAGUGGACGUUACUCGCAGAAUAAGCACCGGCUAACUCUGUGCCAGCCGCCGCCGUAA
rnacentral:rRNA from 1 species